rnacentral:lncRNA from 1 species
AUCAAAACAGACCUUUGUAAUUCCACAGGAAUAAAUCUGGUCCAAUUCCCUGAAAAAUGAGAAAGACAAGGACUGCCAGGGGUCAGGCAACCCUGGAGCUUAGAUAAUUUUACUUUUCAAAUUUUGUGGGUUGACUCUACUUACUUAUGAAACUGAAUUGCUAAUAAAAUUAAUUAGAAGCAUCAUAAGUUGGCCAUCCCAAGAGUAUUUCUACUUGAAGCAGUCAUUAAUUAUUCUGACCAGGAUUGUCUGUCUUUUCUAUUUAUAGGCUGGCCAUGGGCGACACUGACUGUUCUUGGGUUCCUCUACUGCUAUUCUCAUGUUGGAAUUGAGUGGGAGCAGAAGUGUGCUGCACACUAGGAAUGAUGCAAACCAUUAUUCUUGAGGCAGGUUGAUGGUUUUUCUACACUGGAUGUUCUAUCUGCACAAGGGCCACUUCAGUGACCUCUCCACUGCCUUUCCCCAGCUCUUGGCAUCCUGUCUCAAGGCUACCCUUGGAUCCAGUUCUGCUGACCCACACUUCCCACACCACUGCCGGUGCCAUCUGCCCAGCCUUCGCUCAGGUUUUUACUCAUCUUGUCUUCCAAAAACAGGAGAGGUUAAUUCCCCCAGCUGCCAUAUACCAACACAGAAGUUGUGGUGAAUUAGAAUGAAAGAAGCACAGACUCAAUCUUUUAGGUGAAAAAGACUUGUAUUGGCUGAGAUUCUUUAUAUGUGUGUUGCAAUUAAACCCCUGACACCACUGGCAGCAAUAAAUACCAUAGCAACACAGCAUCCUUCCCAGCAUUUUCUGGUUGGAUACACAGC